rfam:Canis lupus familiaris chromosome 2, whole genome shotgun sequence.
ACCUGAGUGGCUCAGUGGUUGAGCAUCUGCCUUCGGCGCAGGGCAUGAUCUCAGGUC